rnacentral:lncRNA from 1 species
GCUUGAAGCCACUAUUUUCUGAAGCGAUGUUGCCAAUAGAUGGUAGUUGUGUCUGAGUGCUAGUGAAAUAAGAAGGGGUUACUGUGUUCUUAAAAAAUACUCCCUCUUGAAAAACCAAAAGCCAUCCCCUUCCUCUCCUUCCCUCCCUCCCUCCCUCCCUCCCUCGCUCCCUCCCUCCCUCUCUUCCUCCCUCCUUGCCUGCCUGCCUCCCUCCUUCCCUCCCUCCCUCCCUCCUUUCCACAACUGAACCAUGGGCCUUGGAUACAGGAGGCAGCCCUCCAUCCCUGUAGUGCAUCUCCAGCACCAUCCUUACUCUUUAUUUUGAGACCAGUUUCAUUAAAUUGUUGAGGUUAGCCUUGAAGUUACUGUGUCCUGGGCUGACCUGGUCCCUGUGAUCCGUCCUCAUGCCUCAGCCUGAGGUGGCAGACACACACUCCCACCCACAAUGCAUUUCAUGACGCCUCAGCUUGUGGUUCAGUAGGAGGAAGAUGUGGAGCAGGCUGUCUGAGGUCCCGGGUGCUCUGUGGUGCUGCUCCCCCAGGCUGGGUGUCUCUUCUGUAAAAGCUUCAGCCUGCUGAGACCCAGGACAGAGCUGGGUGUGGUACACCUUGGGAGAUAGAGGCAGAAGCGUUGUGAGUUUGAGGUCAGCUAGGCUGCAGAGCAGGACUGUGCCGGUGAAGCCAAACAUGGACUGUGAAGGGACUUCACCCUCCCAUCAGCAGGUAGGUGUGGAAAUGAGAACAAGGGCAGCACUUUGUGGGCUAGGGAGAUGACUCUGGGUGACGUGCUGGCUUCACAGACAUGAGGACCUGAGUUCAGAUUCCCAGCUCCCUUGUGAACAUCUGGCAUGGUCACAUGUCUGAAGCCCACUUCUCAGAGGGGGCAGCAAGUACAGACAGGAGGACCCUGGAGCUCACUGGUCAGUCUAAUGGAAUGGAUGAGCUCUGCGUCCAGUGAGGACCUUAAGAAAAUAAGGUGGGGGUGAUCAAGGAAAAUGCCCAGAUUGACCUCCAACCUCCAGGUGUACAUGCCCACUCGUGUGAGCACAUACAUACACCACAAGUGCAUAUGUACCCCAGAUGCACGGGUGGAGGGAUGGAGAAGGCUGGGCAUCAGGCAUAGCAGGCUGGGUAGUUUGUAGUGUGUGGGAUCCGUAGCAGGAGCCCUGGCUUCUACCCAUUAGGUGUCAGUUGCAUAUACACCUCUUAGUGGCAACUGGAGUGUUUCAGAGUCACAACAUUUCCCUCUCUAGGGAGCCACUGCCUGAGUCUGAAAUUCUGGUUUAAAGUGUGUAUGAGUGCUCCUAGGAUGUGUCUAGACAAAAUGUUGCUUUAGUGAGUGAGUGCGUCCUGAGGAUCUGUGAGCACCCAGGGCGUGCUGUGGAGUGGGCCAUAAGGCUCCCGUGGACAGUCCCAUGUCACUCCAGGACAGCCAGUGGCACUUCCUCUAGGGUUCUUUGAGACUGACUGACUCUUGCUUAGGCACUCCUCUGGCAGUUGAGGUUUUUUGGCUCUCCAGUUCUGGACUUCCAGCAGACACUGUUGUCUGUCUUCUGCUUGUCUGGGCAUUAGCUAAGUGUUGUAGUGGACUGAGCAGGUGUGCCAGGUCUCUAGCCAGCCUUCUGAUCAGGGGAGUCUCUGGAUUGACUCAGUGACAGAGUUUGUGGGCUUGGAGGUGCAAGCCUGUCAUCCCAGAACUUGGGAAUCGAGGCAGGAGGAUCCCAGCAAGUUCUAGAACUUGCCAGAACUACAGAGUGAGACCUUGUCUCC